UUAAGCGACUAAGCGUACACGGUGGAUGCCCUGGCAGUCAGAGGCGAUGAAGGACGUGCUAAUCUGCGAUAAGCGUCGGUAAGGUGAUAUGAACCGUUAUAACCGGCGAUUUCCGAAUGGGGAAACCCAGUGUGAUUCGUCACACUAUCAUUAACUGAAUCCAUAGGUUAAUGAGGCGAACCGGGGGAACUGAAACAUCUAAGUACCCCGAGGAAAAGAAAUCAACCGAGAUUCCCCCAGUAGCGGCGAGCGAACGGGGAGCAGCCCAGAGCCUGAAUCAGUGUGUGUGUUAGUGGAAGCGUCUGGAAAGGCGCGCGAUACAGGGUGACAGCCCCGUACACAAAAAUGCACAUGCUGUGAGCUCGAUGAGUAGGGCGGGACACGUGGUAUCCUGUCUGAAUAUGGGGGGACCAUCCUCCAAGGCUAAAUACUCCUGACUGACCGAUAGUGAACCAGUACCGUGAGGGAAAGGCGAAAAGAACCCCGGCGAGGGGAGUGAAAAAGAACCUGAAACCGUGUACGUACAAGCAGUGGGAGCACGCUUAGGCGUGUGACUGCGUACCUUUUGUAUAAUGGGUCAGCGACUUAUAUUCUGUAGCAAGGUUAACCGAAUAGGGGAGCCGAAGGGAAACCGAGUCUUAACUGGGCGUUAAGUUGCAGGGUAUAGACCCGAAACCCGGUGAUCUAGCCAUGGGCAGGUUGAAGGUUGGGUAACACUAACUGGAGGACCGAACCGACUAAUGUUGAAAAAUUAGCGGAUGACUUGUGGCUGGGGGUGAAAGGCCAAUCAAACCGGGAGAUAGCUGGUUCUCCCCGAAAGCUAUUUAGGUAGCGCCUCGUGAAUUCAUCUCCGGGGGUAGAGCACUGUUUCGGCAAGGGGGUCAUCCCGACUUACCAACCCGAUGCAAACUGCGAAUACCGGAGAAUGUUAUCACGGGAGACACACGGCGGGUGCUAACGUCCGUCGUGAAGAGGGAAACAACCCAGACCGCCAGCUAAGGUCCCAAAGUCAUGGUUAAGUGGGAAACGAUGUGGGAAGGCCCAGACAGCCAGGAUGUUGGCUUAGAAGCAGCCAUCAUUUAAAGAAAGCGUAAUAGCUCACUGGUCGAGUCGGCCUGCGCGGAAGAUGUAACGGGGCUAAACCAUGCACCGAAGCUGCGGCAGCGACGCUUAUGCGUUGUUGGGUAGGGGAGCGUUCUGUAAGCCUGUGAAGGUGUACUGUGAGGUAUGCUGGAGGUAUCAGAAGUGCGAAUGCUGACAUAAGUAACGAUAAAGCGGGUGAAAAGCCCGCUCGCCGGAAGACCAAGGGUUCCUGUCCAACGUUAAUCGGGGCAGGGUGAGUCGACCCCUAAGGCGAGGCCGAAAGGCGUAGUCGAUGGGAAACAGGUUAAUAUUCCUGUACUUGGUGUUACUGCGAAGGGGGGACGGAGAAGGCUAUGUUGGCCGGGCGACGGUUGUCCCGGUUUAAGCGUGUAGGCUGGUUUUCCAGGCAAAUCCGGAAAAUCAAGGCUGAGGCGUGAUGACGAGGCACUACGGUGCUGAAGCAACAAAUGCCCUGCUUCCAGGAAAAGCCUCUAAGCAUCAGGUAACAUCAAAUCGUACCCCAAACCGACACAGGUGGUCAGGUAGAGAAUACCAAGGCGCUUGAGAGAACUCGGGUGAAGGAACUAGGCAAAAUGGUGCCGUAACUUCGGGAGAAGGCACGCUGAUAUGUAGGUGAAGUCCCUCGCGGAUGGAGCUGAAAUCAGUCGAAGAUACCAGCUGGCUGCAACUGUUUAUUAAAAACACAGCACUGUGCAAACACGAAAGUGGACGUAUACGGUGUGACGCCUGCCCGGUGCCGGAAGGUUAAUUGAUGGGGUUAGCGCAAGCGAAGCUCUUGAUCGAAGCCCCGGUAAACGGCGGCCGUAACUAUAACGGUCCUAAGGUAGCGAAAUUCCUUGUCGGGUAAGUUCCGACCUGCACGAAUGGCGUAAUGAUGGCCAGGCUGUCUCCACCCGAGACUCAGUGAAAUUGAACUCGCUGUGAAGAUGCAGUGUACCCGCGGCAAGACGGAAAGACCCCGUGAACCUUUACUAUAGCUUGACACUGAACAUUGAGCCUUGAUGUGUAGGAUAGGUGGGAGGCUU
rnacentral:rRNA from 1 species